CCAGCUCUCUUUGCCGUAAGGCUAAGAUCAAGUGUAGUAUCUGUUCUUUUCAGUUUAAUCUCUGAAAGUAUUCUAAGGAAUACAACAUUGAUUAAUCUCAUUUUUGGAUCUCGCGUUCGGCCCGCUGUGCUUGCGCAUGGUCGUCCGCACCGUGUCCUCGGUCUUACACUACCACCGAGCGAUGCGAAAUGCA
rnacentral:snRNA from 16 species